rnacentral:rRNA from 1 species
AACGAACGCUGGCGGCAGGCCUAACACAUGCAAGUCGAGCGGCAGCGGGAAAGUAGCUUGCUACUUUUGCCGGCGAGCGGCGGACGGGUGAGUAAUGCCUGGGAAAUUGCCCAGUCGAGGGGGAUAACAGUUGGAAACGACUGCUAAUACCGCAUACGCCCUACGGGGGAAAGCAGGGGACCUUCGGGCCUUGCGCGAUUGGAUAUGCCCAGGUGGGAUUAGCUAGUUGGUGAGGUAAUGGCUCAACAAGGCGACGAUCCCUACCUGGUCUGAGAGGAUGAUAAGCCACACUGGAACUGAGACACGGUCCAGACUCAUACGGGAGGCAGCAGUGGGGAAUAUUGCACAAUGGGGGAAACCCUGAUGCAGCCAUGCCGCGUGUGUGAAGAAGGCAUUCGGGUUGUAAAGCACUUUCAGCGAGGAGGAAAGGUUGAUGCCUAAUACGUAUCAACUGUGACGUUACUCGCAGAAGAAGCACCGGCUAACUCCGUGCCAGCCGCCGCCGUAA